rnacentral:snoRNA from 1 species
CUAGGAUGAGAUACCAGCUGGCACCAGUCCGAGAAGACUUGUACUCUUUUCAUGCGGAUUAGCGAAUGUAUAGGCGAAUUGCCUUGCGAAUCUGAA